rnacentral:rRNA from 1 species
GACGAACGCUGGCGGCGUGCUUAACACAUGCAAGUCGAACGGAAAGGCCCUGCUUUUGUGGGGUGCUCGAGUGGCGAACGGGGGAGUAACACGUGAGUAACCUCCCCUUGACUUUGGGAUAACUUCAGGAAACUGGGGCUAAUACCCGAUAUGAGCUCCUGCUGCAUGGUGGGGGUUGGAAAAAUUCGGCGGUGGGGGAUGGAUUCGCGGGUUAUCAGCUUCUUGGUGUGGUAGUUGCUUACCAAGCGUUUGACGGGUAGCCGGCCUGGGAGGGUUGCCGGCGACAUGGGGACUGCGGUACGGACCAGAAGCCAACGGGAGGCAGCAGUGGGGAAUAUUGCACAAUGGGGGGGAGCCUGAUGCAGAAACGCCGCGUGCGGGAUAACGGCCUUCGAGUUGUAAACCGCUGUGGCCUGUGACGAAGCGGGAGUGACGGUAAUGGGUAAAGAAGCACCGGCUAACUACGUG